ACUGCUGAGACGCAUAAAGAAAUCUUAGCUGGAAUGCCUUCUCAGAAUCUUGAUUUUCAAAGUGAUGGAUUGGGAGAUCCCAAGCCAUGAAUAAAGGGUGCUCAUCACAGAUGGAACAAUGGCGAGAGCACACCUGGACAGGGGAGGGGCAGGAGUUCUGAUUCCUGACACAGGUUUCCUGGUUGAAUGUUCUGUUGUAGAAGAAUGCAACUGAGUUUUCUAAACAGAUCUUCUUCUUGACAUCCUUGCUGAACGGUCUCAUUUUGUCACCCAGGCUGGAGUGCACUGGCACAAUCUCUGCUCUCUGCAGCCUCAAUCUCCCAGGCUCAAGUGAUCCUCCCACCUCAGCCUCCCAAGAGAGCAAAGGAGACAGCUGGGAGCAGAUGGGCAAAUCCCAGUUUGCCCAAAGAAAUGUCUAUUUUCCAAGGGGCAUGAAGAAUUUAGGAAUAAAGCAGAUCUGAUUUCUAAUUCUGACUUUGCUACUGGCAAAUUGUGUGGACUCAGGAAAGUGACCGGCCCUCUUUAAGACUCAGUGUGCUUACCUCUGAAAUGGAGCUGUCAAUCACAUCUGCCUCACAGGCUUGUUCUGAGGAUGAAGUGAGAAAAUGCCCACGAGGUGCUGGUUGCAGCAGCUGGUGCAUAGAGCUUAAAAAGGAUGCAGUCCCAAAACAUAGAAGGAUUUACUCCAGAUCCAAGCAAUGAGUCAGGAACAGAAAGCCUGAUGCCCUCACCUGGAACUCUCCCUCCUCCCUGGAUGAGGACCUUCCCCAGAAUUGCAGGGCACCCACACAAGACCAAGCAAGUUCAGAGAAAAUUGAAACCUGACUUUAGAGCCUCUGGGAUGUUCACUACACCUCAUUGAACCUGUUUGGUUCACAGAGCUCCAACUACCGUCUACUUCCUGCAACUGGCCUGCUGCCAACUCCCCAGAUCUCUUGUGGAGCUGCCGGAAGAGACAGCCUGCCACAGAAGAAAGCAGCCCUCCUCUUUCAUGGCCUCCCACAUCUUGAAACAAACACAAGCAAACAAAACAAAAGCUUGAGUCCCAGCCUGAUUCACCAGGUUUGGUUCCCAAUUGUUGAAAUUCCCUUCCCAGGGCUCUCAGAACCAGGGUUGGCUGGAGGGGUGAAAGAGGCUGGCCCUGAGCCCAGUAAUAGGACACCAAGGGGGAGCUAAAAGCUGGGAUCUGGGGUGAAGAUGGGGUCUUCCAAGCUGGGAGGCAGACACCAGGCCAGAGCAACCGGCCUGCCCCAGCUCAGGCCUCUUAACCCAUGCAGGGCAAGAGUAUAAACAGAGGCCACGGACCACAUGCCUCAGUAUUUAAACUUAUAAAUCAAGCUAACAUAACAUGAAAUCAAAUAUGUUCUAUCCUCCUAGCUUGACAAAUACUUUCAUAACGAGAUGGAAUGCCAGGUUCAGAUUUAGAAUUUUCACACUCCUUAAAGUUCCAAG
rnacentral:lncRNA from 1 species